UGGUGGACCGUUGUGCUUUGCAUUCUUCGGGUGUUUGUACCCCACUCUGCCGGCCGCUAAAUGCCCGAAUUGUGGGCAAUAUCUUGUUAAAAGUAUGAAUUAUUAAGUGGUUAAGCGUGCAGGUAGCACCUCUUCAGCUCAACUGGGAAAGCAGUUUGGCACAUUACGUCUACGAGGAAUGCAGAGAACCAACGCCCACUUCUCUGUAUUUGUCUGUCAGUAUUCACUAACCUCUUAUAGACAAACAGAGACAGAAGUUUUGGGAAGAAGGGGAUGAUAGAGUGUCUCAGUUACCUGAGCAUAAACAACUAUGCUGACUGGAGUGAUCUUCUACCAGUGAAAUGUAUAUGGCAGUUGAAGAACUGUAACUUAAUCAUAGGAUCCUGACACACCCAUGACCUUACAUUCGUUACGCAAGUGAAUUUCACAGUUGAAUUAUUCCUCGUGUUUCAUCCAUUAAUCUGUGGAGCCCAAUGGUAUGAAUAGAACAUGGACAGACCUGAGUGGAGUUGGCACUGUAUGUUGAUGCCUCCUUUGAGAUAAAUAAUGAUCUUUUUUUUGGCAUGUUUACUGUCUGGUUAGCUCUUGGUGCAUUCCUAUAAAUAAGGUAUUUGAAUACUUCUUUUUUAAGCUGUAAUUUUUUUAGAUGUUCAGCAAUAAACAUUUUCUGCCAGCUGUAUGCUUUCAGGAGCUCAGCUUCGAUUUCCCACAGGUAUCUCUUUUCCUCCCACUGGAGCAUAACACUUUAAAGUCUUACUGUAAAGUCUUACUGGCUUGUCUUACUGUUUAAGUACUCCUUAAAUUUUUGAUGGUGGGUGUCUUUGUCCUUCUUGUUUGUGUUUAAAUUUUUCUGUGUAUUUCACUGUAAUAGUUCCAGAAAUUUCCACGAAAAAAAAUUACACUGUAAGGGCCAAAAAAAGAUUACAGGACAAAAAAAAAUUACACUGUACUCUACUUACACUGUAGGGAACCUACUUUGGCAGGGGGGUUGGACACAAUGAUCUCUGGAGGUCCCCUCCAAACCCUACAAUUCUGUGAUUCUGUGAUACACUGGGCUGAUACAAUUUGUACAUGGUUGCGCUUAUUGACAAGUAAAACCUGAUUUCUUGCAAGCUUUUCAAACUGAAAGAGCAAUUGCUUCAUCUGUUUAAAGUAAUGGGCAUGUUAUUUGUUGUUUGGGUGCAACAUAACUCAAGCAAACACUGAACUUUAAGCACGGCAGUGGAUUAUACAUAGGGUGUAGUAAUCCUGUCCCCCUUCAGAGAGAGACAGGAAGAUAUAUUUGGGAAUCCGAAGAAUAAAUUCUGUGACAUAGGAAUGUGUGGUUACUUGUGCUUAAUGUGACAUAGCAAAAGCAGUUGAAGCAGACAACUGUUUCCAAUAAAAAUGCUAUUUUGUGUGAUAAUAUUUCCUAAGAGGACAUUGAUUUCCCCUGUCAAAAGCUGCAAAUAAAUGGGUUGCAAAUGUCUUUGACAAUAUGUAAGUAAUUAAUAUUUGCUGUGGUGAAAUAUAAGCAAUAUUAGAGGUGUAUGUAUUAGGCCAUCUGAACGGGAAAAAGCAAAGGCUGAGUCCAAAAUACAACCGAAGUGGGGAAUGAGAGCCAGAGACAGUGGGAACAGGAAGUCUGAUGGUGUUUGUUAGAGGCUGUCUGGUCUUUGUGGGAUGUAAAGCUGCCAGCUGUCAGUUCCACCUGGCAGAUAGAAUUAAAUGCCUUCUUCUAGGCAGCAGUAGCAAUAAGUCCCAACAAGUUGGGUAUCUUGUAGGUGUGGUGGCCAUGGUUGUGUUUCCUCUAGAUAACGAAGAAAGACUUUGCUGUCAAAGUACACCGUCAUCCUCAAUGAAAAGUCUUCUGUUUCACAGGUGCAUAGUAUCAGUUGUACUGAAAGUUUUUUAUUCACUAUUAGUAAUUCUUGUUACACCGUAUGUGGCCCUUUAUGCUGUUUGAUGGUGUGAAUUCCUUUUGAGGGAGCCCAUCUUCUUGUGUGUUUGUAUAGUUCUUAGCUUCUACAGAAAUACCAAUGAGAAACAACUCAGUUGAGUAAGGGCAGAAUCUGGCCUGUGGCAUUGAUUAUCUUCUUCCUACAUGAAAUUUGUUGGUGUAGCUCCCAUAGUGGCUCUAUGAUUGUGUCACAAAGAGUUGAAUCAUGCCAGCUCUAACCGGUAAACCUUAGUGAUUUAUAUCUGUGAAGUCUCUGGCCAUAAGCUUGUAGCCUUCAAGUCAUGUUAGCUGUUUUGGAACGUACUCUCCUGUGGAAUCUU